rnacentral:rRNA from 1 species
AGAGUUUGAUCCUGGCUCAGGACGAACGCUGGCGGCGCGCCUAACACAUGCAAGUCGAACGAGCGAGAGAUAGCUUGCUUUCUCGAGCGAGUGGCGAACGGGUGAGGAACGCGUGAGGAACCUGCCUCGGAGAGGGGGACAACAGUUGGAAACAACUGCUAAUACCGCAUAAGCCCACGGCUCGGCAUCGCGCAGAGGGAAAAGGAGCAAUCCGCUUUGAGACGGCCUCGCGUCCGAUUACCUAGCUGGAGAGGUAACGGCCCACCAAGGCAACGAUCGGUAGCCGGAAUGAGAGGUUAAACGGCCACAUUGAGACUGAGACACGGCCCAGACUCCUACGGGAGGCAGCAGUGGGGAAUAUUGCACAAUGGGGGAAACCAUGAUGCAGCGACGCUGCGUGGAGGAAGAAGGUCUUCGGAUUGUAAACUCCUGUUGUUGAGGAGGAUAAUGACGGUACUCAACAAGGAAGUGACGGCUAACUACGUGCCAGCAGCCGCGGUAAAACGUAGGUCACAAGCGUUGUCCGGAAUUACUGGGUGUAAAGGGAGCGCAGGCGGGAGAACAAGUUGGAAGUGAAAUCCAUGGGCUCAACCCAUGAACUGCUUUCAAAACUGUUUUUCUUGAGUAGUGCAGAGGUAGGAGGAAUUCCCGGUGUAGCGGUGGAAUGAGUAGAUAUCGGGAGGAACACCAGUGGCGAAGGCGGCCUACUGGGCACCAACUGACGCUGAGGCUCGAAAGUGUGGGUAGCAAACAGGAUUAGAUACCGUGGUAGUCCACACCGUAAACGAUGAUUAGUAGGUGUGGGAGGAUUGACCCCUUCAGUGCCGCAGUUAACACAAUAAGUAAUCCGCCUGGGGAGUACGACCGCAAGGUUGAAACUCAAAGGAAUUGACGGGGGCCCGCACAAGCAGUGGAGUAUGUGGUUUAAUUCGACGCAACGCGAAGAACCUUACCCAGUCUUGACAUCCCUUGACGAUGCUGGAAACAGUAUUUCUCUUCGGAGCAAGGAGACAGGUGGUGCAUGGUUGUUGUCAGCUCGUGUCGUGAGAUGUUGGGUUAAGUCCCGCACCGAGCGCAACCCUUAUGGUCAGUUAGUACGCAAGAGGACUCUGGCCAGACUGCCGUUGACAAAACGGAGGAAGGUGGGGAUGACGUCAAAUCAUCAUGCCCUUUAUGACUUGGGCUACACACGUACUACAAUGGUGUUAAACAAAGAGAAGCAAGACCGCGAGGCGGAGCAAAACUCAGAAACAACGUCCCAGUUCGGACUGCAGGCUGCAACUCGCCUGCACGAAGUCGGAAUUGCUAGUAAUCGUGGAUCAGCAUGCCACGGUGAAUACGUUCCCGGGCCUUGCACACACCGCCCGUCA